rnacentral:rRNA from 1 species
AGGCGAGGCCGACAGGCGUAGUCGAUGGAUGACGGGUUGAUAUUCCCGUACCGGCGAAGCACCGCCCAUGCUGACGCGCGGGUGCUAACCCACGCCCGGCCGCCGUGUAGGCCGCGCCUACUCCUUUCGGGGGGUGGUGUGGUUGUGGUGGUGGGGUCUGGGGAUCCUCCGUGCAGGUAGGCAAGCGUGUUAACAGGGGUGACGCACAGUGGUAGCCCGGCGGACCUGAUGGCUUGGUCCGUUCAAGCGCGCAGCCCGUCCUCCAGGUAAAUCCGGGGUGACUGUCUUUGAUGACGGGGGUGAGGCGUGAUGGUGACCCCACUCUGGUGGGGGAUAGCAGGGUGAUCCUGGGGUGCCGAGAAAAGCCUCGACGCGAUGGUGCCAGCCGCCCGUACCCUAAACCGACACAGGUGGUCGGGCAGAGUAUGCCUAGGCGCACGAGUGAAUCAUGGUUAAGGAACUCGGCAAAAUGCCCCCGUAACUUCGGGAGAAGGGGGGCCUGAGCUUUGAAGCCCCUUCGCGGGCUAGGAGCAAGGGUCGCAGAGAACAGGGGGGAGCGACUGUUUACUAAAAACACAGGUCCGUGCGAAGCCGUAAGGCGAUGUAUACGGACUGACGCCUGCCCGGUGCUGGAAGGUUAAGAGGAACCAUCAACCCUCGGGUGAAGUGGUGAAUUUAAGCCCCAGUAAACGGCGGUGGUAACUAUAACCAUCCUAAGGUAGCGAAAUUCCUUGUCGGGUAAGUUCCGACCUGCACGAAUGGCGUAACGACUUCCCCGCUGUCUCAACCAUGAGCUCGGCGAAAUUGCAGUACGAGUAAAGAUGCUCGUUUCGCGCAGAAGGACGGAAAGACCCCGGGACCUUUACUACAGCUUGGUAUUGGCGCCCGCUAUAGCUUGUGCAGGAUAGGUGGGAGACUGUGAAGCCGUUACGCCAGUAGCGGUGGAGUCGUCCUUGAAAUACCACUCUGGUUAUGGCGUGCGCCUGAACCUGGGCCCGUGAUCCGGGUUAGGGACAGUGCCUGGUGGGUAGUUUAACUGGGGCGGUUGCCUCCUAAAGUGUAACGGAGGCGCUCAAAGGUUCCCUCAGCCUGGUCGGCAACCAGGUGUUGAGUGCAAGUGCACAAGGGAGCUUGACUGUGAGACCGACGGGUCGAGCAGGUACGAAAGUAGGAACUAGUGAUCCGGCGAUCCCGUGUGGGUGGGUCGUCGCUCAACGGAUAAAAGGUACCCCGGGGAUAACAGGCUGAUCCUGCCCAAGAGUCCAUAUCGACGGCAUGGUUUGGCACCUCGAUGUCGGCUCGUCGCAUCCUGGGGCUGGAGCAGGUCCCAAGGGUUGGGCUGUUCGCCCAUUAAAGCGGUACGCGAGCUGGGUUUAGAACGUCGUGAGACAGUUCGGUCCCUAUCCUCUGCGCGCGCAGGAGACUUGAGAAGGCCUGUCCCUAGUACGAGAGGACCGGGACGGACGAACCUCUGGUGUGCCAGUUGUCCCGCCCGGGGCACGGCUGGUUGGCUACGUUCGGGACGGGUAACCGCUGAAAGCAUCUAAGCGGGAAACCAUCUUCAAGAUAAGGUCUCCGCAGGACACCUCGGUGUCCUGGUAGGCCCCCAGCAGACUACUGGGUUGAUAGGCCAGAAGUGGAAGACCGGUAACGGCCUCGAGCUGACUGGUACUAAUCGGCCGACACAAACAACA